rnacentral:rRNA from 1 species
AUGAACGCUGGCGGCGUGCCUAAUACAUGCAAGUCGAGCGAACAGACGAGGAGCUUGCUCCUCUGACGUUAGCGGCAGACGGGUGAGUAACACGUGGAUAACCUACCUAUAAGACUGGGAUAACUUCGGGAAACCGGAGCUAAUACCGGAUAAUAUAUUGAACCGCAUGGUUCAAUAGUGAAAGACGGUUUUGCUGUCACUUAUAGAUGGAUCCGCGCCGCAUUAGCUAGUUGGUAAGGUAACGGCUUACCAAGGCAACGAUGCGUAGCCGACCUGAGAGGGUGAUCGGCCACACUGGAACUGAGACACGGUCCAGACUCCUACGGGAGGCAGCAGUAGGGAAUCUUCCGCAAUGGGCGAAAGCCUGACGGAGCAACGCCGCGUGAGUGAUGAAGGUCUUCGGAUCGUAAAACUCUGUUAUUAGGGAAGAACAAAUGUGUAAGUAACUAUGCACGUCUUGACGGUACCUAAUCAGAAAGCCACGGCUAACUACGUG